UCGACCUCCUAUAAAGGCAGGGCCGCGCCCUAGGGUUUCAUUCUUCCCCCUCUCCUCCUCGUGCGCCGCCGCCACGUAAGUAGCCACCAUACCCGCAGCUUCCAUGGCAAGAGAGGAAAAUAGCUCCUCUCCAGCGUGGUCGUCACCGCCACAGCCCCUCGCCGGCUAGUGCGAAGGCCUCGUCGUCCCCGACGUCCUCGCCCGCACGCUAGGACCGAUGGAGUCGCCGUCGAGCCCUUUUUCCCCAGCGUCGGACUCAAGCUCGCCGUAGAACCGCAGCCCCGUUUUCAGAAGCUGGGAUGGCUCGAGCAACUAACCAUAAUCCGAACCAUGAUGGAGAGUAGGCUGACCCUCCGCCACCCCCUCCUCCUCCUCAAGAGGAGUGGAAAGCUUUGAUGGCUGCUACCAAUGCAAACACUAAGAUGCUUCUUAAAAUUAUGCAAGAUAGGAACAAGGGUUGCCAAGGGAAUUUAAACAACCAGCAGCAGUUUGCUUCUCUCAAUCAAUUCCGGGCAAAUCAACCCAAGUCCUUCAAUUGUUGUGAACAUCCAUUUGAUGUAGAUGAUUGGCUACGUGACAUGAGUAAGAAUUUUGAGUGCAGCAAUGUCUGUUCUGAGGACUUUGUCAGAUUUUCUACUUUCUAGAUGAAGGGUUACGCAGCCGAGUGGUGGCAGCAUCUCAAGGAUUCCAUAGGUGACCUCUGAUUAGUUGGGAUGACUUCUAGCAUGAUUUCACAGCCCAUCAUAUUCCGGCAAGCUUUGUUGAGGGCACGCGUGGGAAGUUCAGGAGUCUGAAGCAAGGAAGCUCAUCUAUAUAUAAUUACAGUAUUGACUUCUA